GCUUACACAUGCAAGUCGAACGAUGAACUGGAGCUUGCUCCAGGGAUUAGUGGCGAACGGGUGAGUAACACGUGAGUAACCUGCCCUUGACUCUGGGAUAAGCGUUGGAAACGACGUCUAAUACCGGAUAUGAGCUGCGACGGCAUCGUCUGCAGUUGGAAAGAUUUUUUGGUCAAGGAUGGACUCGCGGCCUAUCAGGUAGUUGGUGAGGUAACGGCUCACCAAGCCGACGACGGGUAGCCGGCCUGAGAGGGUGACCGGCCACACUGGGACUGAGACACGGCCCAGACUCCUACGGGAGGCAGCAGUGGGGAAUAUUGCACAAUGGGCGAAAGCCUGAUGCAGCAACGCCGCGUGAGGGAUGACGGCCUUCGGGUUGUAAACCUCUUUUAGUAGGGAAGAAGGGAGCUUGCUCUUGACGGUACCUGCAGAAAAAGCACCGGCUAACUACGUGCCAGCAGCCGCGGUAAUACGUAGGGUGCAAGCGUUGUCCGGAAUUAUUGGGCGUAAAGAGCUCGUAGGCGGUUUGUCGCGUCUGCUGUGAAAUCUGGGGGGCUCAACCCCCAGCCUGCAGUGGGUACGGGCAGACUAGAGUGCGGUAGGGGAGAUUGGAAUUCCUGGUGUAGCGGUGGAAUGCGCAGAUAUCAG
rnacentral:rRNA from 1 species